ACGCUCGACACCUACAGGAGGCAGCAGUGGGGAAUAUUGCACAAUGGGGGAAACCCUGAUGCAGCGACGCCGCGUGGAGGAAGAAGGUCUUCGGAUUGUAAACUCCUGUUGUUGGGGAAAAAGAGGAUGGUACCCAACAAGGAAGUGACGGCUAACUACGUGCCAGCAGGCGGUAAUCUGAGCGGGCUGGCAAGGC
rnacentral:rRNA from 1 species